GCUCCACCCACGCUCCUUCCCCACCGACGUCAAUUGGCAGGGGAGACCGAAGGCGCAUGCGCGGCAAUGGCCGCACCCGCAUUAGACCUCCCCAUAGGAAAGCAUUAUUCAAUGCAUUCCUAUGGGGAAAAUCUGCCACUGGAGGUCACAGCACCCAAUUAGCUGAAGUGGUCUGGAUGCCUACAGUGUCCCUUUAGUUUCACUGAAACUGAGACAGUGUUAAUGCUUUUAUAUUGCAAUUAUUCAUAUGCUCAUGAAACACAACACACGGUUGCUUGAGUUUUAAUUCAUCCACACAGAUUUUUGUGCCGUAAGGACUUACAAAUAAACAUUUCCAUUUUCUUUAAG